rnacentral:rRNA from 1 species
UACGUAGGGACCGAGCGUUGUCCGGAAUCAUUGGGCGUAAAGAGCGUGUAGGCGGCUUGUUAAGUCUUGCGUGAAAUCUCGGGGCUCAACCCCGAGCGGUCGUGAGAAACUGGCAGGCUAGAGUGCGGGAGAGGAGAGUGGAAUUCCUGGUGUAGCGGUGAAAUGCGCAGAUAUCAGGAAGAACACCCGGGGCGAAGGCGGCUCUCUGGAACGCAACUGACGCUGAGGCGCGAAAGCCAGGGGAGCAAACGGG